rnacentral:misc_RNA from 1 species
AAAAAAGUGAAGUGAUGAAUCAACUAAAAUUCCCACUUUUUGAAAAGCAAAAAGCAAAAAAAUUUAAUCAAUGUUAACCUAAAUUGAUUGAAAUAUCAAAUCUUAACCAUAUGAUCUUUUGCUUUAAAAUAAAUCUUAGUGCAUCAUUGAGUACAGUAGUAAAACUUAUUGUUUUCUCAAGGGGAGGACUCAGGUUUGAUCCUUGGAGAAUAUAUUGUUGGAAGUGACGACCAUAAACUCGAAGGGAUUAAUUUUUUGUGAACGGUAAAACUGAACAUAGAGGAAACCCUGAUGUACCAAAAAAAAAUCUAAUUGAAUUUAAU